GCCUAUUUAAUUAUCAUUUAUAUUGUUGACAAAGCAUCACUAUUAACUGAAUCGUUUGUUUGUCAGCAAUGGUUUAUCGUUGCUUAUAGAUAUACAUUAAAUUACAGUGACUGCAUCGAUCUCCAUUAUCCUAGGACGUCUUUUUUUUUAAAAUUUAGCAAUACAUUUUCAGAAUUUGAUUUGGAUCAUCGUGUGUACAUGUUGAACAAAAAUUAAUUUAAAUAAAGAUUUCAACAAACUUAUCUAAUUUAAUGUUGUUAUAGUUUAUUUAGUUACAGAUGUUUAAAUGUACCUAAUUUGAAUACAUUUUAUUUCGUGCGGAAUGUUUAAAAUUUUACAUAUUGUUGCCUACUGAUUACC